AUAUGUGUCAGCCCAGUCAUCCAGUGGCGACAUUAGUACAGAUUGUCAGCUUAUUAGAUGGGAGGCUACAUAUAACGGAUGGCAUUAUCUACUAGGAGAGAUUCAAGAACUUCUGAGACAAGUGUCUCAUGGAGCAGGUGACCUGUAUAUUUCAGGA
rnacentral:sRNA from 1 species